GGCUUCCGGGAGCUAACGCGUUAAGUCGGACCGCCCUGGGGAGCACGGGCCCGCAAGGUUAAAACUCAAAUGAAUUGACGGGGNCCCGCACAAGCGGUGGAGCAUGUGGUUUAAUUCGAUGCAACGCGAAGAACCUUACCUGGUCUUGACAUCCACGGAAGUUUUCAGAGAUGAGAAUGUGCCUUCGGGAACCGUGAGACAGGUGCUGCAUGGCUGUCGUCAGCUCGUGUUGUGAAAUGUUGGGUUAAGUCCCGCAACGAGCGCAACCCUUAUCCUUUGUUGCCAGCGGUCCGGCCGGGAACUCAAAGGAGACUGCCAGUGAUAAACUGGAGGAAGGUGGGGAUGACGUCAAGUCAUCAUGGCCCUUACGACCAGGGCUACACACGUGCUACAAUGGCGCAUACAAAGAGAAGCGACCUCGCGAGAGCAAGCGGACCUCAUAAAGUGCGUCGUAGUCCGGAUUGGAGUCUGCAACUCGANNNNANGAAGUCGGAAUCGCUAGUAAUCGUGGAUCAGAAUGCCACGGUGAAUACGUUCCCGGGCCUUGUACACACCGCCCGUCUCAC
rnacentral:rRNA from 1 species